UACGUAGGGUGCAAGCGUUGUCCGGAAUUAUUGGGCGUAAAGGGCUCGUAGGCGGCCAACUAAGUCAGACGUGAAAUCCCUCGGCUUAACCGGGGAACUGCGUCUGAUACUGGAUGGCUUGAGAUUGGGAGAGGGAUGCGGAAUUCCAGGUGUAGCGGUGAAAUGCGUAGAUAUCUGGAGGAACACCGGUGGCGAAGGCGACAUCCUGGACCAACACUGACGCUGAGGAGCGAAAGCCAGGGGAGCAAACGGG
rnacentral:rRNA from 1 species